rnacentral:rRNA from 1 species
CCUACGGGUGGCAGCAGUCGAGAAUCAUUCACAAUGGAGGAAACCCUGAUGGUGCGACGCCGCGUGGGGGAAUACAGGUCUUCGGAUUGUAAACCCCUGUCAUUUGGGAGCAAAUUAGAAAGAUAGUACCACAAAAGGAAGAGACGGCAAACUAUGUGCCAGCAGCCGCGGUCAUACAGAGGUCUCACGAGGUGUUCGGAAUGACUGGGCGUAAAGCGUUCGUAGGCUGUUUCGUACGUCGUGUGUGAACGGCGCGGGCUAAACCCGCGGAAGGCACAUGAUACUGCGAGACUAGAGUAAUGGAGGGGGAACCGGAAUUCUCGGUGUAGCAGUGAAAUGCGUAGAUAUCGAGAGGAACACUCGUGGCGAAGGCGGGUGCCUGGACAUUAACUGACGCUGAGGCACGAAGGCCAGGGGAGCGAAAGGGAUUAGAUACCCCUGUAGUC